AUUGAACGCUGGCGGCAGGCCUAACACAUGCAAGUCGAACGAGUGGCGGACGGGUGAGUAAUGUUUGGGAAUCUGGCUUAUGGAGGGGGAUAACGACUGGAAACGGUCGCUAAUACCGCAUACCAUAGGAUGUGCCCAAGUGGGAUUAGGUAGUUGGUGGGGUAAUGGCAUACCAAGGCGACGAUCCCUAGCUGGUCUGAGAGGAUGACCAGGCACACCGGGAUUGAGACACGGCCCGGAAGCCGACGGGAGGCAGCAGUGGGGAAUAUUGCGCAAUGGGGGCAAGCCUGACGCAGCCAUGCCGCGAUGAUGAAGAAGGCCUUCGGGUUGUAAAGUUCUUUCGGUGACGAGGCGUUAAUCGCAGAAGAAGCACCGGCGAACACCGUGCCAGCAGCCGCGGUAAUAC
rnacentral:rRNA from 1 species